AGAGUUUGAUCCUGGCUCAGGAUGAACGCUAGCUACAGGCUUAACACAUGCAAGUCGAGGGGCAGCAUUAUCUUAGCUUGCUAAGAUAGAUGGCGACCGGCGCACGGGUGAGUAACACGUAUCCAACCUUCCGGUUACUCGGGGAUAGGCUUUCGAAAGAAAGAUUAAUACCCGAUGUUGCGUAUCUUUCUCCUGAAAGAUACGCCAAAGGAUUCCGGUAACCGAUGGGGAUGCGUUCCAUUAGGCAGUUGGCGGGGUAACGGCCCACCAAACCUUCGAUGGAUAGGGGUUCUGAGAGGAAGGUCCCCCACAUUGGAACUGAGACACGGUCCAAACUCCUACGGGAGGCAGCAGUGAGGAAUAUUGGUCAAUGGACGCAAGUCUGAACCAGCCAAGUAGCGUGAAGGAUGACUGCCCUCUGGGUUGUAAACUUCUUUUAUACGGGAAUAACAUGAGGUACGCGUACCUUAUUGCAUAUACCGUUAUGAAUAAGCAUCGGCUAACUCCGUGCCAGCAGCCGCGGUAAUACGGAGGAUGCGAGCGUUAUCCGGAUUUAUUGGGUUUAAAGGGAGCGUAGGUGGGAUAUUAAGUCAGCUGUGAAAGUUUGGGGCUCAGCCUUAAAAUUGCAGUUGAUACUGGUUUCCUUGAGUACGGUACAGGUGGGCGGAAUUCGUGGUGUAGCGGUGAAAUGCUUAGAUAUCACGAAGAACUCCGAUCGCGAAGGCAGCUCACCGGGCCGGAACUGACACUGAUGCUCGAAAGUGCGGGUAUCAAACAGGAUUAGAUACCCUGGUAGUCCGCACAGUAAACGAUGAAUACUCGCUGUUUGCGAUACACUGUAAGCGGCCAAGCGAAAGCGUUAAGUAUUCCACCUGGGGGGUACGCCGGCAACGGUGAAACUCAAAGGAAUUGACGG
rnacentral:rRNA from 1 species